AUUUUCUCGCGAUGAAAUAAAGGACAGUGUAGUCGACCAGCGUGCCGGACUGCCGGUGGCGACCACCUCGGGGCGGAGCAGCAGCGGGCAGGGGACGACGACGUUGGGGGUGGGGCACUCGCGUGCUGUCGGCGGCGACCGCGAGGCAGCUGCGGGUCGGCGACCUUAGGGGCGGGGCAAGCGCGUGUCGGCGGCGGCGACAACGGGGCUGCCGCGGGCCGGUGGCGGCGACCACGUGAUGGGGAAGCAGCCUUCCGGCGGCGGCGACCGCGAGGCUGCCGCGGGCCGAUGGAGGCGACCGAGGGAUGCUGCAGGCGCAUGCCUGUGACAGAGCCGCUGGGGCGGAACGCGGGCGGAGCAGGGACGGUCCAUGCCGGUGACAAUAGGGUUAAGGAGGAGUAAGGGAUCAUAGUUCGACAGCUUAGACGCGCACAUCGCCCACGAUGAUGCCAUGCAACUGAAAGGGCUGACUUCAUGGAUGGGAUGAUGCUUUGUUUCCGUCAAAGCUUUUACUGUUGAACUUCAUGGAUGCGACGACAGGCUGAUUUCAGUUGUCGUUUGCUGUAGGAAUUUGCAGAGUCUUCGUGACAGCAGAAGUCUCCAACAGAGCAACAACAACUAAGGUUAAAGAAGAAGAUACCGCCACGGAAAAUACUGGUUCCCUUACCCCCUAUCCAAUGCUGCUAAUGACUAUGUGAUCUCUAACUGCACAUUGCAAGAACACGUCAAAUUUGCCAUCGUUUGAUGUUAACUUUUUUUUUUGUUUAUGAGGGAAUGAUCUCUGGGUAUUUUUUUAGCCUCCUACAAAAUGCUUGAAAGAAUCACGAAUUCAACCAUUCAAUCUUUGUCAAUAUAUGUGAGCACGCUUCAUGAGUUUUGGGCUAAAAGUGUAGAAACUGAAUAUUCAGAGUCCAUUCGUAUUGUAGAACUAUUAAAUAGAUCAAUUUUUGAAAAGCAACAGUAUGGCAUAAAUGUUUUAAGAUCCUUCAUGAAAAACUGAAACAUGAUCAGUUUGCCAUCUACAAUCAGAUGCUUACUUAGUUAAUUUGAUGUUAAAUUUUUCCGUAAAAUAUGAGAGUUCUUAGUUGCUGAAUUCUGUUUUCCUACAAGACAUUGUCUAGAUAUGUAGAUUAAAGAUGGGCGAUGGGUCGGCGCUUUCUGCAGAUUAAGGAAAUCUUUAGGGGAGGCGCUAUGAGCUUUGGACCUCUGCGGAAAUGACGGGGUCCUUGGUCAAUGGAUGUGCCUGCUUACAGGUUUUAUGUGGCAGAAAAUCCAAUUCAUCUGAAGAGCAUAAUUGUUGAGCUAUGACUGAUCAUCACUCUAAAAAAAUAUGCCCUUACUUAUGUGGACACCCAUCAUUGCUGAAGAAAUGUUCUCUCCAUAUUAUGCAUUGGAACAUAUUGAUCAGGAGACAAUGGCAAUGGAUUAUCCAUCUGGUUUUGCAUGCAUUGUUCUUUCCCAAAAAACUCAUAAGGAUACUAGAUGGAGUUGCUAUCAAGGUACCUGAUGAUUGUGUAUCAGAAGGCUCUUCCUCUUGAAGCAGCAGCCUUGACACUUUUUUCUAAACAAAUACAAUGUAUCUCUGGAAAAAGCCCAAUAUCUUUAUUGAAUUACAAGAAGACAUAGAUUUGUUGUUGCUUCUACUGUAUCUACAGACGUAUUGUAUGACCAGAGGAGUGUUACAUUCCAUCCAAGAUAUUUGAUGUUGAGGCUAUUCAAAAUUAUUCUUCAUCUGUGGGGAUCCAUAAUGACAACUGAAACUUAUACAGUGGCCACCGGAGUACGGUCCAGCCAGCUGUGUCCGCAUUAUGGCCUGAAUUUUUGGCCCGAAUUAUGGCCUGUAGGUGGUCUUCUAUAGCUGAAGCACAGCUCUGCAGAAGGAAGAGAUCUAUCUGCAUAUCACAUUGCUUUUGUCACCAAUAAUGUGUUCUACAUCGAUAUGAUGUCUGCGUUCCAGGUUUUCUUGCACAUUCAGUGUGAAACACUACGACUUCCCUGGCGACAAUGAUGAAGAUGGGCCUUCAGCAAACAAAGAGAGCAAAGAAAUCAUGGUCCUCGACUCCUCCAACGUGGACGAUGACGAUGAUGGCGAGCAUUCAUAUUUCCAAAGCCACAAAGCAUCACGAUGACGCGAGCAUUCAUAUCUCCAAGCCACAAAGUAUCGAAGAUGGUUAUCCUGGCAUUAGCUUCUUUAAGUUUCCAUCACCCCAUGUAUGUCCAUAUUUUUCAUUUAGUAAAUCCGUUUUGGUUUCUUUCAUGUCCAAUGUCCAACAACCUGGCUUGAUGGGCUUUGGAGAGAUGUUUCUAUUGUUAAACGACGUUU